UUUUUAAUAUAUUUUUGUUACGGGCGGGGAACAUGGCGCACGUGCGCGUUAACAUUACACACAGUUUCAAAAGAAUGACAUUUCCAGUAAUUUUUAGCUUGCGGCUCAUUAUUCACGCGUCAACGGGCGGAUAAGGUGUUGCCAAAGGUACCGCGUUAUUGAAGGGGUGGAAACAGUGGUAAAACAGGUCGGAUGCGAUCAUACCAGCACUAAAGCACCGGAUCUCAUCAGAACUCUGAAUUUAAGCGUGAUUGGGCGAGAGCAGUACUAGGAUGGUGACCUCGUGGGAAGUCCUUGUGUUGCAUUCCC
rnacentral:rRNA from 1 species